AAAAAUAUUCUAGUUUAAACACGUAGUAAGACCUUGACUCUUUAGCCCGCUAUUUCUAUAUAAGAGGCGCACUGACAAAGGGCUUUAGUCUUUGCUCUAUCAUUACUGUGCCUCAGGUGUGGGAGAACAUAGUUCGGAUAAUGAAUUCCAUCCCGAUCUUGUGCGCGGCGUUCGUCUUGGCUGGUGUAGUGCAGGUGGCGGAAGCAGUGGCUGUUACAACAUACGGGGGAACUUGUAAUGCCGCUGCUGACACAUGCAGCAUUGCCGGAACAGCAUGUUUAGCUGCCACGACAGGCGCUGCAACUACGUGUAUUUGUGAUACCAGCAAAUAUAUGGUCAAGAACGCGGCAGCAGACACGUGCGACUGUGCGACUGGCUACACUGGCACAGCGCCAACUUGUU